UACGAAGGGUGCAAGCGUUACUCGGAAUUACUGGGCGUAAAGGGCGCGUAGGUGGUUCUUUAAGUCUGCUGUGAAAGCCCCGGGCUCAACCUGGGAAUGGCAGUGGAUACUGGAGAGCUAGAGUGCGGUAGAGGGUAGUGGAAUUCCCGGUGUAGCAGUGAAAUGCGUAGAGAUCGGGAGGAACACCAGUGGCGAAGGCGGCUACCUGGACCAGCACUGACACUGAAGCACGAAAGCGUGGGGAGCAAACAGG
rnacentral:rRNA from 1 species